UACGGAGGGGGCUAGCUUUGCUCGGAAUUACUGGGCGUAAAGCGCACGUAGGCGGCUUUGCAAGUCAGAGGUGAAAGCCCGGGGCUCAACCCCGGAAUUGCCUUUGAGACUGCAUCGCUAGAAUUGUGGAGAGGUAAGUGGAAUUCCGAGUGUAGAGGUGAAAUUCGUAGAUAUUCGGAAGAACACCAGUGGCGAAGGCGACUUACUGGACACAUAUUGACGCUGAGGUGCGAAAGCGUGGGGAGCAAACAGG
rnacentral:rRNA from 1 species